rnacentral:rRNA from 1 species
CCUACGGGAGGCAGCAGUGGGGAAUAUUGCACAAUGGGGGAAACCCUGAUGCAGCAACGCCGCGUGAAGGAAGACGGUUUUCGGAUUGUACACUUCUAUCAAUAGGGAAGAGCAGAAGACGGUACCUCUUGAAUAAGCCACGGCUAACUACGUGCCAGCAGCCGCGGUAAUACGUAGGUGACAAGCUUUGUCCGGAUUUACUGGGUGUAAAGGGCGUGUAGCCGGGCUGACAAGUCAGAUGUGAAAUCCCGUGGCUCAACCACGGAACUGCAUUUGAAACUGUCGGUCUUGAGUAUCGGAGAGGCAGGCGGAAUUCCUAGUGGAGCGGUGAAAUGCGUAGAUAUGAGGAGGAACACCAGUGGCGAAGGCGGCCUGCUGGACGACAACUGACGUUGAGGCAAGAAAGCGUGGGGAGCAAACAGGAUUAGAUACCCCGAGUAGUC